AGUGAUCGCUGGCGGCGUGCUUAACACAUGCAAGUCGAGCGAGAUUUGACAGCGUAUCGUCAGGUCUAGCGGCAGACGGGUGAGUAACACGUGAGCAAUCUGCCCCUGACUCUGGGAUAAGCGCUGGAAACGGCGUCUAAUACUGGAUAUGAGCUGCGACCGCAUGGUCAGCAGUUGGAAAGAAUUUCGGUCAGGGAUGAGCUCGCGGCCUAUCAGCUUGUUGGUGAGGUAAUGGCUCACCAAGGCGUCGACGGGUAGCCGGCCUGAGAGGGUGACCGGCCACACUGGGACUGAGACACGGCCCAGACUCCUACGGGAGGCAGCAGUGGGGAAUAUUGCACAAUGGGCGCAAGCCUGAUGCAGCGACGCCGCGUGAGGGAUGACGGCCUUCGGGUUGUAAACCUCUUUCAGCAGGGAAGAAGCGCAAGUGACGGUACCUGCAGAAGAAGCGCCGGCUAACUACGUGC
rnacentral:rRNA from 1 species